rnacentral:rRNA from 2 species
UAAUAGCUCACUGGUCGAGUCGGCCUGCGCGGAAGAUGUAACGGGGCUAAACCAUGCACCGAAGCUGCGGCAGCGACACUGUGUGUUGUUGGGUAGGGGAGCGUUCUGUAAGCCUGUGAAGGUGUGUCGUGAGGCAUGCUGGAGGUAUCAGAAGUGCGAAUGCUGACAUAAGUAACGAUAAAGCGGGUGAAAAGCCCGCUCGCCGGAAGACCAAGGGUUCCUGUCCAACGUUAAUCGGGGCAGGGUGAGUCGACCCCUAAGGCGAGGCCGAAAGGCGUAGUCGAUGGGAAACGGGUUAAUAUUCCCGUACUUGGUGUUACUGCGAAGGGGGGACGGAGAAGGCUAUGUUGGCCGGGCGACGGUUGUCCCGGUUUAAGCGUGUAGGUGUGUGUUCCAGGUAAAUCCGGUUCACUUUAACACUGAGGCGUGACGACGAGGCACUACGGUGCUGAAGCAACAAAUGCCCUGCUUCCAGGAAAAGCCUCUAAGCAUCAGGUAACAUCAAAUCGUACCCCAAACCGACACAGGUGGUCAGGUAGAGAAUACCAAGGCGCUUGAGAGAACUCGGGUGAAGGAACUAGGCAAAAUGGUGCCGUAACUUCGGGAGAAGGCACGCUGACACGUAGGUGAAGUGAUUUACUCAUGGAGCUGAAGUCAGUCGAAGAUACCAGCUGGCUGCAACUGUUUAUUAAAAACACAGCACUGUGCAAACACGAAAGUGGACGUAUACGGUGUGACGCCUGCCCGGUGCCGGAAGGUUAAUUGAUGGGGUCAGCGCAAGCGAAGCUCCUGAUCGAAGCCCCGGUAAACGGCGGCCGUAACUAUAACGGUCCUAAGGUAGCGAAAUUCCUUGUCGGGUAAGUUCCGACCUGCACGAAUGGCGUAAUGAUGGCCAGGCUGUCUCCACCCGAGACUCAGUGAAAUUGAACUCGCUGUGAAGAUGCAGUGUACCCGCGGCAAGACGGAAAGACCCCGUGAACCUUUACUAUAGCUUGACACUGAACAUUGAGCCUUGAUGUGUAGGAUAGGUGGGAGGCUUUGAAGUGUGGACGCCAGUCUGCAUGGAGCCGACCUUGAAAUACCACCCUUUAAUGUUUGAUGUUCUAACGUGGACCCGUUACCCGGGUUGCGGACAGUGUCUGGUGGGUAGUUUGACUGGGGCGGUCUCCUCCUAAAGAGUAACGGAGGAGCACGAAGGUUGGCUAAUCCUGGUCGGACAUCAGGAGGUUAGUGCAAUGGCAUAAGCCAGCUUGACUGCGAGCGUGACGGCGCGAGCAGGUGCGAAAGCAGGUCAUAGUGAUCCGGUGGUUCUGAAUGGAAGGGCCAUCGCUCAACGGAUAAAAGGUACUCCGGGGAUAACAGGCUGAUACCGCCCAAGAGUUCAUAUCGACGGCGGUGUUUGGCACCUCGAUGUCGGCUCAUCACAUCCUGGGGCUGAAGUAGGUCCCAAGGGUAUGGCUGUUCGCCAUUUAAAGUGGUACGCGAGCUGGGUUUAGAACGUCGUGAGACAGUUCGGUCCCUAUCUGCCGUGGGCGCUGGAGAACUGAGGGGGGCUGCUCCUAGUACGAGAGGACCGGAGUGGACGCAUCACUGGUGUUCGGGUUGUCAUGCCAAUGGCACUGCCCGGUAGCUAAAUGCGGAAGAGAUAAGUGCUGAAAGCAUCUAAGCACGAAACUUGCCCCGA